AUGUAGGGCCGUGCAUCUCAGAUUUAACAUUGUUAAACGAUGCCUUUAAAGAUAAAAUACUUAGUGAUAAGCAUUGUAAUAAUAUAAUUGUGCGCGGCUUAUGACUGCUUAUAACUGCCAAUUGAGGCCUCCCAAAUAAUAGGGAACAGUAGGGUCAAAUAUUUAGUCAAGUAUUUUAUCUAAUUAAAAAACUGAGUAUUCAUAUUUCUGACAUAGUACUGAAUUGAAUAUAGCCCCAGAUCAUCAAGAUAAUAAUAAUAAUAAUAAUAAUAUUAUUUAAUUUGUAUAUAGCGCUUAAUACAAAUGUCUCUAAGCGCUUUACAAAUAUACUAUUACCCCUGUCGUUGGAUUCAGUGCUUGCCCGCACACAAUGUGAUCAGAAGAUCUGGCUCGAGGUCAUGAAGCAGAAGCCAUCACACAUCUCCCAGAUGACGUGGAAGGCUUAGGUCAAGGUCAUCAAACCCAUUUCAGCUAUGAUGAGCACGUCAAUUAAUGAUGUACUUAUGACAAGUUGUUUCUAAAUUUAAUUUCAUUUGACCUUCCACUUUCAAAUAGUCUACAUAUAUUGAUGAUAAAUCACAUCUUUACCAGAGAUCAUGCACAAACAACUAGGCCCGUCAACACAGUGGGUUAGACGUAGGUUAUAAUCAACAAUAUAUACAAUAUAUAUAACAUGUAAAGUAAAUUAAGUUAAAUGAAAUAAAAUCAAAUAAAAACAAAUAAAUCAAAUACAACCAAAUGACAAAGUACAUAAAAGCAAAUGAAUUGUAUAAUGAAGAAGCUACAGCUUGAUUUUAUUUAAUCUCGGGUAUUUCAAUGCAAAACUGUGCAUGUAUAUUCCGCUUAAAAAUGGUAGUAAAGAAAUUUUUUGGAAGUUGGCGGGAAACUACACUAUUUUCCUUAAAGUAAGGUAAAUCAGUUUAGAAAUGAUGACAUAAUAUUCCAGAUAAUUCUGGAAAAUAAGAACUGUUCAAACAAAUCCAGCAUAUUUCUUGUUUGAAUGAAAUGUGGAACAAAAUCUUAUAAAUACAGUUGAGAUGGGACAAUAUAAUAUCUGAAUGUAUAAAUUAAUGUAACUAUUAUUUUAUGAUCUUGAAAUUGCAUGACAUGUUAAUAUUUAAUAAAAAGGUAACAAUUUCUUGUUGACGUCUUGUUCAGACAUUUUUUUCUUCUCUUUCAAGGAUAAUAACUUAUGGAAAACCUGUGAACAAUACAUGUACAAUACUACAUGUAGGACAUUUAGGAAACUAUUCAAGCAACAAUCCAAACAGCCAACUUUAUUGAUUUUAUUUUUUCUUUAGACAUUAUGUUUUCUAUUAUAUUUUCAGAAUAGUUAUUUUGUGUAUGGAACUGAUUUGCUGGUUGGUUUCGGCCUAGAGCUGAUGACCUGGUUUCUUGUACUUGAAGAUGGGACAAAGCCCUCUCCACACUGAACAGAUGGAUGCUCUAGAGCUGUGCAGAUCCAAGGCCAAUACUGGUGCUAAUAUUUUGCAUUCAAUGCAAAACCGCCUUUCAAAGGCAUACAAAUAAAAACAAGAAAGAAUUGAUUGAUAACUCUUGUGUGCAUGUUUUGUCUUUGUGUGCUUAAUGUCCCUCUAAAAACAUUGAAAUAUUACAUGUACAUGCAUAUCAUUUAAUUAACAAAUAUAUUGAGAAUUAAAGAAUUCUAAAAACAGGCCUACAUAUUACAAACAGGCCUGCAUAUUUUUUUUUCAAACAGCAAAAUGGCAGAAUCCUUCAGGGAUGUCCAUUAAACAAAUGGAUAUAUGCUGGAUUUGUGGGGUAAAGAUGACCAUAAAUCAAUCACGGAUUUAGCAACAUUUCUGGAGAUCACAGAAGGCAGCUUAGAUGACUGAAGGGAGAAAUACCAGAUUAUCAGGAAGAGCUGUAAUCGAACAGGAAGUCUCAAAAAGAUCAAGACAUUCCUCGAAAGAAGACUACAAAGUGGCAUUGAAAAAGAUAGGUGAAGAAAACUCUGGUAAAAGUACAGCAAAUAAAGCUUACAAGAACUGUGCGAGUACGAUCAAUGCCAACCGGGAGAUGAUCAGUCAAAAACGCAAACGACAACUACAUGAGCAGGAAUUUCAAAUCGUUGUACAUCUCAGAGAAAGUGAACAUAAAAUUAGUCGAGAGAAAAUAUGUAAAGUACACAAAUCCACUGGAUCCACUUACCACAGGGAAGCAAGAGAAGAACAAAGGGAUGUUUAGUGGAUCUGAUGAAGAUAUCAUCAAAUUGCAAGACAAGGUGUCAGAACUUGAAGCAAAGCUUGCAGUGCAAGAAUCAACCAUGCGCACAAAAGAAGGACAACGCUUCAAUCCAAAGAUUUGUGAAAUCUGCUACUACUUCCAGGUCUGUUUGGUUCCUUUUUCCUUAAUCACAAAAGCCAGCCUCGGCUUCUACAAAUCUAAAAACAAAAAUAAUCAAUAUGGAAGCAUGUUUUUAUCAAACUGCACUUAAAAAAACACGAAACCUACGAAAAGGCACAUCUGAACAGCCAGUAAAACCGUUUUUUAUCCAAGUUUUUUUUAGGAUUAAUUUUUAUGAUCAACUUAAAAAACUUUCUUUACAAAACUUGGGGGUUGCAGAUAGCAACGUUAGCGAGGCGAUCGGAUUAGUUUCUGAAUGUCUGCAUGUAAGUGUUGUAAAUUGGAAUUUAUGUUGUAAAUUAAAUAGGAAUUAUGUGGUGCAAAGAUGCCCCCCUUGCUUCUUCAGUCAAUGACAAAUUGUUUCCCCUCUAGAGGGAUUCCCAUUGUAUUGUUUCCCCUCUAGAGGGAUUCCCAUUGUACUGUUUCCCGCCUUUUUUUUGGGUAUCUCUAUUGAACUCUUUGCAUGAGUGGAUUUCUUUUGUGUGAUUGCUAGCAUUGGUGCAUGCUAUAGCAGGCAGGCAGCCAUUCUAAGCUAUGUGAUAGGACUGCAAGCACUUGUACAUUUGGCCUGCUGUAGGAGGAAAUGUGAUCAGACUUUGUUUAAAGUCUGCUGUAUUUCUACGAGCUGUGGAUAUGAUACUUGGUAGCAUGCAUACCGUCACUGUUGUUUAGCGUUUUGGCUAGUAUUGGCCGAGGCUGUUUAACGAAGAGAAAACAAUAAAGUACAGACUCUACUUCACUGACUACGGAUGCAUUAUUUGGUCGUCAUGAUCUCGAACCCUUUCAUUAGAAAGGUAGGUUGUCUUCGUUCCAAAUCAACUCAGGGGUGAAUUGCUUCUGAAAUGAAGGUCAUCAGUAGGAAGCAAAUGCAAGAGGAUAUUGAAGAGGAGGUUGCUCUGCUCACAUUGAAGUAUGAUGGCACGACGAAGGAACGUUUAGGCCACUUGGCGGAAGUAGAUGUUGCUACAUCUUCCAAGAUCCACGUGACACGCAUCCAUCAGCAAGUGGGAGGAAGUGCUGAGGAGUGUGUAGAGUCUAUCAAAAACAGCUAUGACGACAUAAAUACGGGACUGCUACAGAACAAAUAUGGCAAAAGAUAGGAGUGUAGAAAAGCUGACAGGCACAAAAGUGAACUCCUUCCGAUGUGCCAUGUAUCCACUGGACACAUUCACUAGAGAGUCAAACAAGAGCCUAAAGAAACUGGAUGCGGGGGGGG